AUUAUAACUCGCCAGGUCACCUGUCGGUCCCAAGCCCGGAUAAAGGAGGAGGGUUGU
rnacentral:ribozyme from 2 species